rnacentral:rRNA from 1 species
GAUGAACGCUGGCGGCGUGCCUAAUACAUGCAAGUCGAGCGAACGGACGAGAAGCUUGCUUCUCUGAUGUUAGCGGCGGACGGGUGAGUAACACGUGGAUAACCUACCUAUAAGACUGGGAUAACUUCGGGAAACCGGAGCUAAUACCGGAUAAUAUUUUGAACCGCAUGGUUCAAAAGUGAAAGACGGUCUUGCUGUCACUUAUAGAUGGAUCCGCGCUGCAUUAGCUAGUUGGUAAGGUAACGGCUUACCAAGGCAACGAUGCAUAGCCGACCUGAGAGGGUGAUCGCCGACACUGGAACUGAGCCACGGUCCAGACUCCUACGGGAGGCAGCAGUCGGGAAUCUGCCGCAAUGGGCGAAAGCCUGACGGAGCAACGCCGCGUGAGUGAUGAAGGUCUUCGGAUCGUAAAACUCUGUUAUGAGUGAAGAACAUAUGUGUACGUAACUGUGCACAUCUUGACGGUACCUAAUCAGAAAGCCCCGGCUAACUACGUG